ensembl:processed_transcript Snhg3 small nucleolar RNA host gene 3
AUAAAUAUGGCUGCGUCGGCGCGGGUCUGUCUCUCUAGGCGUCGCUCUCUUGGUGUGCUUGUUCUUGACCCGGUCAAUGAUUUCAGGUACUUUGUUGAUGGAGGAAAGAAGAGAAUCAGCGGGGGCACCUACUGAAUAGUUAUUAUAUACAGCGUGCUAAAAUUUUGUCUGUUACAGCCUCGGCCAUUAGAAGCUGGGGCAAGCUUUUCUGCCUACUUAACUCUGCCAUGUGAAUGAAUACCAUCUUGGAGAAAGACCUCAGUUUCCAGGGUGAAGCUUGGAGAAACUUCACAGUUUACCAUCCAGGAGAGGAGGCCAGGAUGGAAGCAGAA